rnacentral:rRNA from 1 species
AUUGAACGCUGGCGGCAUGCCUUACACAUGCAAGUCGAACGGCAGCACGGGAGCAAUCCUGGUGGCGAGUGGCGAACGGGUGAGUAAUAUAUCGGAACGUGCCCAGUCGUGGGGAUAACGUAGCGAAAGCUACGCUAAUACCGCAUACGAUCUAAGGAUGAAAGCGGGGGAUCGCAAGACCUCGCGCGAUUGGAGCGGCCGAUAUCAGAUUAGGUAGUUGGUGAGGUAAAGGCUCACCAAGCCGACGAUCUGUAGCUGGUCUGAGAGGACGACCAGCCACACUGGGACUGAGACACGGCCCAGACUCCUACGGGAGGCAGCAGUGGGGAAUUUUGGACAAUGGGCGCAAGCCUGAUCCAGCAAUGCCGCGUGCAGGAUGAAGGCCUCGGUU